CGAACCGUGUUAUUGAAUUCGGCGUCUUUUCAGAUAUGCUGCGUGGGAAAAAAAAUGAAACGAAAAUAUCUGGGUAACAGCCCCGUCGUCUAAUCUAAAAUCAUUCGAAGAGCGAGACGGCCACGAGAGCGGUUGAUGUCGAAAAUCGGGCUUCGAAACACCCGUUCGUUCGCUUCUGUAAACGAAAUGCUUCCGGAAAUCCCGGGUGUGUGCUAGUGUCGGCGGCGAACGCGCGUAAAAAAAAAUAUCGAUUUCUAUUCAUCGAAAUCUCGCCAGUCGUCACCUUCAACCCGUGUCCGUAAACGAAUUGUCCGCCAAAAAUCUCCGUUGUGCCGGUCGCGACCC